rnacentral:lncRNA from 1 species
CAUCUCGACACAAUCACCACACCUUCUCACUUAACCUACACCUCGUUUAACAUCGAGUCGCCUGAGUUUGUAGACCCUGCGGGAGUUACGUAAACGUCACCGAAGCACAAGUCAGGACUCGUAUCGUUGCCGGAACCCAUUGCAACACUUUUCGGACACCUUUUCACCUUCGCCGGAGACCAAGAAGAUGCUCGGAGAAACCACCAACGAGUUCGUUUUGACGGGAAUCCUUUCUCAUCACAGUUCCGGAUGAUCACUUUGCUCGUUCUCCUGGAUUCUUUCCCAAUCUUACUCGUACAUUACUUACAAGAAAUCGCAACACCAUCAAUGUGAGUAUACUCGAUCCCAUUUUCGUUUUACACACUUUGGGCGCAACAUGUAUUCAUAUUCAAAUUCACAAACACGUUGAACGUUAUUUAUUCACACCCUAUCCAAAUUUCACAUGAACGAUUGAUUCUUGUUAUACACGUAAUGCUAAUGUAAACACUUCAUGUCUAUAUGCUCAUUAACCUUGUUAAACUUAUUUAAUCUUGUUAGACUUGUUAAACUUGUGAGACUUGUUAGACUUGUUAUACUCAUUAAACUCCUAUGCUAUAGGAGUACGCAUCGCCCUUGAGUGAGUCUUGGGGUGUUUGCAUUUGAAAUUUUGGGUUUGACAUAUAGAACAUCGCUUCGGCAUACUGUUAACUUGUAUCAUCCUAUUCAUGUUGGAUAUGAGUACUUAAACUAUUUUAUUCUACUAUGCUACGUAUCAAACUUGUAUACUCGCCAACAUUUUUUGUUGAUGUUAUUUUAAUACAUGUUGCAGGUUGAUAGAUGAAGAAUUCAAGAAUCAAGUUAGGGUGGAUUAGAAACACACCUAGAAAUAAACUAUGUUGGAAUCUUGUUUUGUUCAUUUGAACAAUGUAUGACAUUUUAGAAUUUAUGAAAUUGAAUUUAAAUUAUAUUGUCACAAUUAGUGUUAUGUUGUUUUGAGCAAUUUGUUCGUCUCAUCCCGAUUUUUCCGCCAUCGGUUGGGGUGUGACAUUUCUUGUGACAUUUGUGUUGUCACAGGCAGUAGCUCUGGUAUCUCAUCCUCCAGAGUUGCCGUUUUGAUUGGUUUGGGGGGUGUGGGUUUCAAAACAGUUGGUCUGCUGCUUUGAUCACCUAGAGCAGUAGGCUCAGCAGCAGAUACCUGAGGAGCAGUGGUGACUGCUAAUUUCUGCUCAGGCACCUCUGCUUGUGUUUUACAAGGUGAACAUUCUUGAAAAAGUUUCAGUUGUUAAGCUAAAUCAUCCUUACUGAAUUUCUUUGCAAAAUAGUAACUUAAAAACCUUGGAAUAGUUAAAAUUUUCUUCUUGAAGAAUUGCAUAUCCCAGAUUUUGAUCUUUAAAGGGAUCUCAUUGAAGGAAGUGGUUUUGUUUGAAACACAUAGUAGGAGGGUAUGAAAUAAAAAUCUGGUUGCUGAAGGAAAAUAACCUUUUUGUAAGGUAAGUUUCUUCAUCAUUGUGGCUUCAUACCCUCUUUCAAUGAAGUCAGUUUGUAACUCGUUUUUAGUGAAAGAAGUUUUACCUUCCUGGUCACCGAGUUGAAAGACCUCUGAAAUGGAUUGUGGCGUGAUUUGGACUUCUUUCCCCUUUAUAGAAGAGUGUAUGGUGGUUGCAGUGUCUCCUUGUUUGUCAAGGGUUGCAUUCUUCCAGAACUCCCUUUGGGUCUCCAAAUAGAUUGGUGCAUCGGCGGUGAACAAAGUUUUGUACUUUGAUUUUGCCAUGAUAUUGAUGAUGGAAUCGAAAACAUCGGUGGUUCCUGGUUUUGUUAGAAGACCCAGGAGAUUGUGAGAUGAUUUGUAUGGAAUUUCAAUGGAAGUUGCCUUUUGAGAGGCUGUUUUCGAUGAUGAUUUGGAUGAGGGUUUUGCAGAUGGCUUCGAUUUUGUCAUUUUUGAAACGAAUGAUCGAAGAAAUUUGUGAGAAAUGAGAAGAAAGACUGCUUUGAGAAGAGAAUUUUUAAGAAUUCAAUUCGAUAGUAAAACCCUGUUUUGGUGGUGAGUGGGGGAUUUUAUAGGGGAAGAGAGUGAAUGCUGACGUGGCAGCCGUUACAAAAGGUCUGACUGCUAUGUACUGCCCACGUGACAACCCCUGGUGAAAGUGGAGGACAGUACUUUGAUGAAAAUGACUGAUGAAGGCAGUGGUAAGGAAGCAGUGGAUGAUUUUUACUAUCAGUGGAUAGCAUAUCAGUGGAUAAGACACUGCUUUUGAACAACAGAGUUUAUCAAAGGAAUGAGAGAACAGGGGUUGACUUUCAGCAGUGGACAGACUUUUGAAGUAGAGCAGACUUUUGAACAAUCAGUGGUUAUGGCAGACUUUUAAGGAUUUUAAUGAAAAUUUCAUUUUAAGCUAUUUUUAAGGAUGAAUUUUUGAUUUUCUGAAAACAUUUUGUUGCUUUUAUUCAUAGAAAAACAAGAUGUUGCUUGUUAUUCCAUGUUCAGCAUCCCAAUCCUAGAGACCAAGCUUUCAAAAGUGGCUGUAUCAAGUGCUUUUGUGAGCACAUCUGCCAGCUGGUCUUUAGUUGGGACAUGAUGCAGAGAAAUCAAACCUUUUUC